CUCGUCUAGUGGUCUCUGUAUCCAGAUAAACCGUAUUCGGCCUGAUCUACUCGGCGCCUGCUGGCCUCCCCUCCAACCCCUCUUGGAGGAGUUUGGGGAGGAGAGGAGAAGUGCCUUAUGUACGGUACCUGCAUCCCGAGGGCGGGAGCGGAGACACAGGCCUGAGACCUAGCUUACCUUCUCAUGAUUCCUGAAUGAGCUCAUCCUUUCCUAUCUACAAACUGGAAAUUCCCAAAUUUACAAAUCCAUUCCAGAUCUCCGGACUGCCAUGGCCGUGAUAACUUCUUGGUGAUGCAAUUGCUUGGAUGUCCCACAGGCACUUUCAGCAGAAUGUGCAAAAUUACCUGCAUCUACUUGUCUCCUCUCUCCAAAUAAACUGCCGUUUACCACA